rnacentral:lncRNA from 1 species
CUUUUAUAUGCUCUGCUCGUUUUAUUUCAAGCUUUUUGUCAUUUAUAAUUUUAUAUUCUAUAACAUCUGCGGUUUUUUGUUUUUGUUUUUCUGUUUUUGGGGGGUUUUUUUUGAGACGGAGUCUGGCGCUGUCACCAGGCUGGAGUGCAGUGAUGCGAUCUCGGCUCACUGCAACCUCCGCCUCCCAGGUUCAAGCGAUUCUCCUGCCUCAGCCUCCCAAGUAGCUGGGACUACAGGCAUGCGCCACCACGCCCAGCUAAUUUUUGUAUUUUUAGUAGAGACCAGGUUUCACCGUGUUGGCCAGGAUGGUCUUGAUCUCUUGACCUCCUGAUCCGCCCGCCUCAGCCUCCCAAAGUGUUGGGAUUACAGGCAUGAGCCACCACACCCAGCCACAUGAGUGUAUUUUUGACAGCAAUGUAGUCACCAAUAAACGAGUAACUUCAGUUAAAGUACUGUAGAUUAUAAUACACAGCCCUGUAAUCUACCCUGGAGUUCAACAAACGGUAUUGAAAACAGACUGUGUUCCAGAUGCAAUAGGAAGAGAAUAAAUAAGAUAAACAAUACAUAAAUCCUGCCCAGAAGACGUUUGCAAUUUUUUAAGAGGAAAAACAUGAAGACAAAUUGUUUUAAGAUGUUUGCUAUUUUCAAUAGUUGAAAAAUAAACAGGAGAGAAGGGAUUAUUUAACUGUGGGUAUGUAGGGCUGAGAAAGGCACGCUUGACAAAGGAAACCUGGGCAGUGUUACCAGAAAGCGUUGCCAAUCAUGAGUCCAUAUAGUGAAGUGAAAGCAAGUUUAUUAAAGAAGUAAAGAAACAAAAGAAUGGCUACUCCAUAGGCAGAGCAGUGGCUUGGGCUGCUGGACUGAGUAUAUAGUUUUUUUGUGUGUUGUUUGUUUGUUUUGACACGGAGUCUUGCUCUGUCGCCCAGGCUGGAGUGCAGUGGCGCCAUCUCGGCUCACUGCAAGCUCCGCCUCCCGGGUUCACGCCAUUCUCCUGCCUCAGCCUCCCGAGUAGCUGGAAAUUUAUUGUAUUUUUAGUAGAGACAGGGUUUCACCGUGUUAGCCAGGAUGGUCUCAAUCUACUGACCUGGUGAUCCUCCUGGCUCGGCCUCCCAAAGUGCUGGGAUUACAGGCGUGAGCCACCGCGCCCAGCCAGUUAUUUCUUAAUUAUAUGUUAAACAAGGGGUGGAUUAUUCAUGAGUUUUCAAGGAAGGGGGCAGGCAAUUUUUGGAACUUAGGGUUCUACCCUCUUUUAGACUGUAUGACUUCUGGAUGUUGCCAUGGCAUUUGUAAACUGUCAUGGUGCUGGUGGGAGUGUCUUUUAGCAUGCUAAUGCAUUAUAAUUCACGUAUAAUGAGAAGUGAGGAUGACCAGAGGUCACUUUUGUCUUCAUCUUGGUUUUGGUGGGUUUGGCCUGUCUUCUUUACGACAUCCUGUUUAUCAGCAGGGUCUUUGUGACCUGUAUCUUGCGUGGACCUCCAAUCUUCUGUGACUAAGAAUGCCUAACCUCCUGGGAAUGCAGCUCAGUAGGUCUCAGCCUCGUUUUACCCAGCACCUGUUCAAGUUGGAGUCACUCUGGUUCAAACGCCUCUGACAACAGGACUAUUGGAGUACUGAUAGGAGUUUAUUUGCCUUAAUCACCUGGCCACCCUAUCCCUUUCUUAUUUCCUCCCUACUCCUCCGUCCUGGGAGACUGAAUUCAAAUAGACAAUGGCCAGAGAAUAUAUACAAAUAGAACACUAACCUACAACCUUCAACAACCAGUCCAGGAAGGCAACCUACUAUGUCCAGUAACCAGUCCAAGAAAUCAGAUUACUAUAUUUAGCAACCAGUCCAGGAAGCCAAGCAAUAACCCUUGUAGCAAUCUACCCCAAAUGGCCAGGACGUGAUUAAUAACUUACAGCUUCUGUAAGUUUUGUCAGGGCUUCCAACUCAAGGCCAGCUAGAGAGAGCCAAAUAUCUACCCACCCCUAAAUAAUUACAUAGGAUGCCCUGCUUUUAGUUAGCCCACCUGCAGCUUCUCCAUGCCAACAGCCUUGAAUUGGCAUACCUGAAGCUUUCCCUUUUUUCCACUCUAAAGCUUUCUCACUCCUCUGCCUGCCGUUGAGUCUCUGACAAAUGCAAGUGAUGAUGGCUGACUCCCUUGCUAUUGUAAGCUCCAAAUAAAUUUGGCUUUGCUUGUUCUC